UGGAUGCGAAACUACUCUCAUCACGAAUAACCACCAUAACCUCUGCACGUGCCUCGAUGCAUUGUCGUUAGAAUGUUAUAGGACCAUCAUCGGAACGUCGUCGACCAUCCCACGCCAUCGUGAACUGAUCGGAACACGUCGCAGAAUGUACCACACACUCAAAUCUAAUGUAGAUAAAAUGAAAUCGAGCUGAAAAAUAGUGCACAUGCGCAAAAUCGCGCUUUGGUUGCUGCGCUCCGAUCUUUUUCUCUGGUGUUACUCUGCCACACGUAGAUCUUCUUCCUCUCUCCCUAUUCUUGCUUUGCCACAAAUCAAAAACAAUCUGAGCAUGCAACUGUCGCUGACAUCUUCUCUUUAUUUUUCUUAUUAUUCCUUCCUUCCCUCUCUCUCUCUCUCGCUCUCUCUCUCUCUCUUUUUCUACCUUUCUCUCUCUAUCCAAUCCCUCUCUCUAUCGCCUUUCUCUUCCUUUUAUACGCGAUGGCAAUUAGAAUCCUGUACGUAGCUUCUCCCUCGAGGAAGCCCCGUGUGGGCUUCUUUUUCUU
rnacentral:lncRNA from 1 species